UGGGGAAUAUUGCACAAUGGGGGAAACCCUGAUGCAGCAACGCCGCGUGAGUGAAGAAGUAUUUCGGUAUGUAAAGCUCUAUCAGCAGGGAAGAUAAUGACGGUACCUGACUAAGAAGCCCCGGCUAACUACGUG
rnacentral:rRNA from 1 species